rnacentral:rRNA from 1 species
GUGGAUUAGAUACCCUGGUAGUCCACGCUGUAAACGAUGAGAACUAGAUGUUGGCAGGCUUGACCUGUUAGUAUCGAAGCUAACGCGAUAAGUUCUCCGCCUGGGGAGUACGGCCGCAAGGUUAAAACUCAAAGGAAUUGACGGGGGCCCGCACAAGCGGUGGAGCAUGUGGUUUAAUUCGAUGCAACGCGAAGAACCUUACCUACCCUUGACAUCCAAAGAAUUUUGCAGAGAUGCGAAAGUGCCGAAAGGAGCUUUGAGACAGGUGCUGCACGGCUGUCGUCAGCU